rnacentral:rRNA from 1 species
GGACGAACGCUGGCGGCGCGCCUAACACAUGCAAGUCGAACGAGCGAGAGAGAGCUUGCUUUCUCGAGCGAGUGGCGAACGGGUGAGUAACGCGUGAGGAACCUGCCUCAAAGAGGGGGACAACAGUUGGAAACGACUGCUAAUACCGCAUAAGCCCACGACCCGGCAUCGGGUUGAGGGAAAAGGAGCAAUCCGCUUUGAGAUGGCCUCGCGUCCGAUUAGCUAGUUGGUGAGGUAAUGGCCCACCAAGGCAACGAUCGGUAGCCGGACUGAGAGGUUGAACGGCCACAUUGGGACUGAGACACGGCCCAGACUCCUACGGGAGGCAGCAGUGGGGAAUAUUGCACAAUGGGGGAAACCCUGAUGCAGCGACGCCGCGUGGAGGAAGAAGGUCUUCGGAUUGUAAACUCCUGUUGUUGGGGAAGAUAAUGACGGUACCCAACAAGGAAGCGACGGC